rnacentral:rRNA from 1 species
UACGUAGGGAGCAAGCGUUGUCCGGAAUCAUUGGGCGUAAAGCGCGCGUAGGUGGCCCCAUAAGUCCGCUGUGAAAGUCAAAGGCUCAACCUUUGAAAGCCGGUGGAUACUGUGGGACUAGAGUACGGAAGAGGCGAGUGGAAUUCCUGGUGUAGCGGUGGAAUGCGCAGAUAUCAGGAGGAACACCGGUGGCAAAGGCGGGUCUCUGGGCCAUUACUGACGCUGAGGAGCGAAAGCGUGGGGAGCGAACAGG